GGGGCUGCGUUUAAUUGGACUCACCCGGGCACUCCCGGAUAGGACAGGGAAUGAUAGCCGGGCUGAAGCCUUGCUUGACCAGCUGAGAGGAGGGGCAUGGCCGUCGUCAGUUCGUACUGUGAAGCAUCCUGUUUAGUCAGGCAACGAGCGAGACCCACGCCAACAGUUGCUAGCAUGUUCUCCGGAAUGAUGAGGACACUGUUGGGACCGCCUCUCUAAAGAGGAGGAAGGAAUGGGCAACGGUAGGUCAGCAUGCCCCGAAUAUCCGGGCUACACGCGGGCUACAAUGGUCAGGACAAUGGAAGGGCACUGAAAAGGUAGCAAUCCCUAACCUGUCCAAGUCGGAUUUGGGGGAAAACUCGCCCACACCCCGCAGAAAAACACAUAGUAGGAAGUGGCGGGGAGCCCCCAG
rnacentral:rRNA from 1 species